rnacentral:rRNA from 1 species
UGCGCCUGCGCAGGCCUACCCUGCAAGUCGAGCGGUAGCACAGAGGAGCUUGCUCUCGGGUGACGAGCGGCGGACGGGUGAGUAAUGUCUGGGAAACUGCCUGAUGGAGGGGGAUAACUACUGGGAAACGGUAGCUAAUACCGCAUAACGUCGCAAGACCAAAGAGGGGGACCUUCGGGCCUCUUGCCAUCAGAUGUGCCCAGAUGGGAUUAGCUAGUAGGUGGGGUAAUGGCUCACCUAGGCGACGAUCCCUAGCUGGUCUGAGAGGAUGACCAGCCACACUGGAACUGAGACACGGUCCAGACUCCUACGGGAGGCAGCAGUGGGGAAUAUUGCACAAUGGGCGCAAGCCUGAUGCAGCCAUGCCGCGUGUAUGAAGAAGGCCUUCGGGUUGUAAAGUACUUUCAGCGAGGAGGAAGGCAUUGUGGUUAAUAACCGCACUGAUUGACGUUACUCGCAGAAGAAGCACCGGCUAACUCCGUGCCAGCAGCCGCGGUAAUACGGAGGGUGCAACGUUAAUCUAAUUACUGGGCGUGAGCGCACGCUGGCGGGCUGUCGAGUCUGAUGUGAAAUCCCCGGGCUCGGACGGUUAACUGCGUACA